rnacentral:rRNA from 1 species
AGAAUCAACGCUGGCGGCGUGCCUAACACAUGCAAGUCGCACGAGAAAGGGGAGCAAUCCCUGAGUAAAGUGGCGCACGGGUGAGUAACACGUGAAUAAUCUACCUCCGAGUGGGGAAUAACUGAGAGAAAUCUUAGCUAAUACCGCAUAAUACUUACGAGUCAAAGCAGCAAUGCGCUUGAAGAGGAGUUCGCGGCAGAUUAGUUAGUUGGCGGGGUAAUGGCCCACCAAGACGAUGAUCUGUA